rnacentral:rRNA from 1 species
CACCUUGCGGCAUGCUUAACACAUGCAAGUCGAACGGUCUCUUCGGAGAUAGUGGCGGACGGGUGAGUAACGCGUGAGAAUCUGCCUCUAGGUUUGGGACAACAGUUGGAAACGGCUGCUAAUACCAGAUGUGCCCUGGAAGGUGAAAGAUAAAUUGCCUAGAAAUGAGCUCGCGUCAGAUUAGCUAGUAGGUAGUGUAAAGGACUACCUAGGCGACGAUCUGUAGCUGGUCUGAGAGGACGAUCAGCCACACUGGAACUGAGACACGGUCCAGACUCCUACGGGAGGCAGCAGUGGGGAAUUUUCCGCAAUGGGCGAAAGCCUGACGGAGCAAUACCGCGUGAGGGACGAAGGCUUUUGGGUCGUAAACCUCUUUUCUCAAGGAAGAUAAUGACGGUACUUGAGGAAUAAGCAUCGGCUAACUCUGUGCCAGCAGCCGCGGUAAUACAGAGGAUGCAAGCGUUAUCCGGAAUGAUUGGGCGUAAAGCGUCCGCAGGUGGUUUGAUAAGUCUGCUGUUAAAGCGUUAGGCUCAACCUAAUAAGGGCAGUGGAAACUAUUAGACUAGAGUACGUUCGGGGCAGAGGGAAUUCCCAGUGUAGCGGGGAAAUGCGUAGAGAUUGGGAAGAACACCGGUGGCGAAAGCGCUCUGCUAGGCCUGUACUGACACUGAGGGACGAAAGCUAGGGGAGCGAAUGGGAUUAGAUACCCCAGUAGUCCUAGCCGUAAACGAUGGAUACUAGGCGUUGCCCGUAUCGACCCGGGCAUUGUCGUAGCUAACGCGUUAAGUAUCCCGCCUGGGGAGUACGCACGCAGGUGUGAAACUCAAAGGAAUUGACGGGGGCCCGCACAAGCGGUGGAGUA